rnacentral:rRNA from 1 species
GAUGAACGCUGGCGGCAUGCUUAAUACAUGCAAGUCGGACGGGCAGUGGUGUUUCUUGUGGCGGUCGGGUGAGCAACGCGCAAGAAACUGCCCUUGGGAGGGGAACACUAGCUGGCAACGGCUGCUAAUACCCCGCGGGCCGAGGAGCAAAUGGAGGAAUCAGCCCGAGGGGGGGCUUGCGUCUGACUAACUAGCUGGAGGAGCAAUAGCUUACCAAGGCGUUGGACAGUAGCUGGUGGGAGAGGGUGAUCAGCCACACUGGGACGGAGCCGAGGCCCAGGCUCCUACGGGAGACAGCAGUAGGGAAGUCUCCGCAAUGGGGGAUAGGCUAACGGGGCAAUGCCGCGGGGAGGUAGAAGGCCCACGGGACGUGAACUGCGUUUCCCGGAGAAGAAGCAAUGACGGUAUCUGAUGAAUAAGCAACGGCUAACUCUGUG